GAUGAACGCUGGCGGCGUGCCUAAUACAUGCAAGUCGAGCGAACGGACGAGAAGCUUGCUUCUCUGAUGUUAGCGGCGGACGGGUGAGUAACACGUGGAUAACCUACCUAUAAGACUGGGAUAACUUCGGGAAACCGGAGCUAAUACCGGAUAAUAUUUUGAACCGCAUGGUUCAAAAGUAAAAGACGGUCUUGCUGUCACUUAUAGAUGGAUCCGCGCUGCAUUAGCUAGUUGGUAAGGUAACGGCUUACCAAGGCAACGAUGCAUAGCCGACCUGAGAGGGUGAUCGGACAAACUGGAAAUGAGACGCGGUGCAGAGUACUACGGGAGGCAGCAGACGGGAAUCUGCAGCAGUGGUCGGAAGCCGGACGGUGCAAAACCGCGUGAGUGAGGAAGGUCAUCGAAUUGUAAAACGCUGGGAUUAGGGAAGAAAAAAAGGGUAAGCAACUGUGCACAGAUUGACGGGACCAAAACAGAAAGCCACGGCUAACUACGGG
rnacentral:rRNA from 1 species